CUGCCUACGGGGCGCAGCAGUGGGGAAUAUUGCACAAUGGGGGAAACCCUGAUGCAGCAACGCCGCGUGCGUGCCGCCGUCUUUUGGUCUGUCCCGCUCUAUCAGCAGGGCCGGGAAUGCCGGUACCUGACUAAGAAGCCCCGGCUAACUACGUGCCAGCAGCCGCGGAAAUACGUAGGGGGAGAGCGUUAUCCGGAUUUACUGGGUGUAAAGGGAGCGUAGACGGUUCUGCAAGUCUGAAGUGAAAGCCCGUGGCUUAACCGCGGAACGGCUUUGGGAACUGUGGAACUGGAGUGCUGGAGAGG
rnacentral:rRNA from 1 species